rnacentral:rRNA from 1 species
AGGGCACCACCAGGAGUGGAGCCUGCGGCUUAAUUUGACUCAACACGGGAAAACUUACCUGGUCCUGACACUAGAAGGAUUGACAGAUUGAUAGCUCUUUCUUGAUUUGGUGGAUGGUGGUGCAUGGCCGUUCUUAGUUGGUGGAGUGAUUUGUCUGGUUAAUUCCGAUAACGAACGAGACUCUAGCCUAUUAAAUAACACACAGAAUCUUGUCUUCUGUGGCGUUUCUUAAUGGGAUCAAGUGUGUUUAACGCUUUGAAACAGAGCAAUAACAGGUCUGUGAUGCCCUUAGAUGUCCGGGGCUGCACGCGCGCUACACUGAAAGAAUCAGCGUGCGAUUAGCCUGGUUCGGAAGAAUCGGGUAACCCAAGUAAAUUCUUUCGUGCUUGGGAUAGGGAAUUGCAAUUAUUUCCCUUAAACGAGGAAUUCCCAGUAAAUGCGGGUCAUAAGCUCGCGUUGAUUACGUCCCUGCCCUUUGUACACACCGCCCGUCGCUACUACCGAUUGGAUGACUUAGUG